rnacentral:lncRNA from 1 species
GGGACUUUCCGUACCUCACCCUGGAGAUCAAGGAGCAAAGCUGCCCAUGUGAGGGAGUGAGGAAAAGGAACACCAAGGAGCAAAGCCCUGAAGCGGCAAAGAGUUUCCAGAACAAUCUGUGAAUUCUCAAAGAACCAGGAUGUCUUCAGCUGAUGUACUCUUCCCCUUGAGUGUCACAGCAUCAGGGAACCACUGAGGCCUCAGCUGUGACCAGACGCAAAAUGGAGUUGUUUCCACACGCCAUAGUCGGCUCUCGGGCAAGGAAACACUGGGCCUUAGACAGAAACCGACAUCGCAAGAGGAUGGAUUGCCCAAAAUCACAUGGAUGCUGAGAUCCCGUAUUGGGGCCCGUUGCCUCUUGCUCCCUGAACUGUAGUUCCCCUGAAACUUAGCACCAGUUGGGCAACAGCGGGUACUGGCACCUGCCCUGCGGACUGGGCCCUGAACGACCACGAGCACGCGUCGGCGCAGACCUCGGACCCGGACCCGGACCGCGCGCGCCCCCUCGCGG